rnacentral:tRNA from 1 species
GGGGGGUUAGCUCAGUUGGGAGAGCACGACGUUCGCAACGUCGGGGUCGGGGGUUCAAAUCCCCUACCCUCCA